rnacentral:rRNA from 1 species
UACGUAGGGCGCAAGCGUUGUCCGGAAUUAUUGGGCGUAAAGAGCUCGUAGGCGGCUUGUCACGUCGGGUGUGAAAGCCCGGGGCUUAACCCCGGGUCUGCAUUCGAUACGGGCAGGCUAGAGUGCGGUAGGGGAGACUGGAAUUCCUGGUGUAGCGGUGAAAUGCGCAGAUAUCAGGAGGAACACCGGUGGCGAAGGCGGGUCUCUGGGCCGUAACUGACGCUGAGGAGCGAAAGCGUGGGGAGCGAACAGG